rnacentral:rRNA from 1 species
AACGCGAAGAACCUUACCUGGGCUCGAAGCGUAGUGGACUGAGGUAGAAAUAUCUUUUUCCCGCAAGGGACCGCAGUAUAGGUGCUGCAUGGCUGUCGUCAGCUCGUGUCGUGAGAUGUUGGGUUAAGUCCCGCAACGAGCGCAACCCUUGUCCUGUGUUGCCAUACCGAAAGGUGGAACUCGCAGGAGACCGCCAGGGAUAACCUGGAGGAAGGUGGGGAUGACGUCAAGUCCUCAUGGCCUUUAUGUCCAGGGCUACACACGUGCUACAAUGGACGGUACAAAGGGCUGCCAACCCGCGAGGGGGAGCCAAUCCCAAAAAACCGUUCUCAGUUCGGAUUGCAGGCUGCAACUCGUCUGCAUGAAGCUGGAAUCGCUAGUAAUGGCGGAUCAGAACGCCGCCGUGAAUACGUUCCCGGGCCUUGUACACACCGAUAGC